rnacentral:RNase_P_RNA from 2 species
GCUUCCCUCCGGGCUAUCGCGGUACGGCAACGUAACGAGGAAAGUCCGGACAGCACAGGGCAAUACACCGGCUAACGGCCGGGGGGCGGAGUUCCGUCAACAGAAAGUGCCACAGAAAAUAACUACCCUUUCGGGAAAAGGUGAAAACGUAGUGUAAGAGACUACGGCUUGCUGCAGUAAUGCAGCUCGUGGGUAAACCUUGUAUGCUGAAAUGCCAUGUAUACCGGUGGUUGAGAGCGGCCCGCUCAAUGAUUCUUCGGAAUCAACGCCGGAGGGUAGGCAGAUAGAUCACGGCAGUAAUGCCGUGGCCAGAUAAAUGAUAGCCACUGCGCAGGCAGUACAGAAUCCGGCUUACAGGAGGGAAGUUUUU